UGUAACUCUGUGUUGUUGUCUGUGUCACACUGCUUUGCUUUAUCUUGGCCAGGUCGCAGUUGCAAAUGAGAAUAUUUUCAUAAUAUACUUUGAAAUUAGCAUUGCAGGAGUAUUGGUGAAAAUGUUUGUAGUCAUCCUUAUAUAAUGUGUCAUGAUUGAAAUACAAAUGUAAUGCUUUUUCAUCCGUUUUGGCCUUAUCUCGUACCAGUAACUGCUUUCAGACCUAGUCAUGCUGAUCAGGGUGAAAUUCAAUGGUGAACAAAAAUAUGUCAAGAUCAUUUACCUGACACUUGAAGACCUUUUGAUUGGAGGUAAACUUUUCAUUUGCAAUUGGAAAUAAAUGUAUUGUUUUCAUACCAGUCAGUCUGAUUAGUCUUACCAUUUACGAUUGCGAUUCUAAUUGUAGGUUGUUUUUUAAAUGUUUGUCACAGCUUUCCUGACAUUUGAGAUCCCACUUACUAGUUUAUCAGAGGCAAAGCUGUAUGAUGGGUCUGGAACUGAAGUUGAUGGGAAUGUGUUUGAGGAGGCGGUGACACGGCCAAAUCUUGGUGUUUUCAAGCUCACACUGUACAAUGAUGCUAAAGGAUGGGAUAGUGACCUAUCCUCCAUCCUUCUCCUGCUCCAUUUGACUCCUCCUACAUCACAAGGCCGCAAAAGACCAGGAAAGAUGUCUGCAUCCCAAGCUGAACAGCAUCUUGUCAUAUUCCAAAAGGCAGGAACCAGUAUCCAGGAGCACCUUGAUGCGAUUGACCAGAGCCGCCAACCAUAUCUUAUUGCAGUCGGGACCAGGAAGAGCAGCAUCCAUGCUUACUUCAUCAUCCUGGACAUGCGAGCCUUGCUGUGCAAGUCAAUGAGAGCUCUUGUUGCCUUCGAUGAGCUUUGCAAGACUCACUUUGUUUUUGGUACUGCUUACAAUAGAAUGCUGCGCAACAUGUACACCUUCAUACAAACAAUUGUGUACAACAUAGACAUUGGGAAGGUUAAGGAGACUCCAAGGGUUGCUGAGCUCAGAGCUUUUUUAAAGAUGGAGUUAACUUUGAUUUAGAAUAUGGACUAUAUAUGAAGAGACAUCCUCUCUUUUCUAAAGAGAAAAAUGCGUUUCAAAUUCAACUCUUAUGACUUUGAGACCGCUAAUCCAUUGGGAUCAAAAAAGGAUAUUCACAAGUUGGAAAGUAUAUAGUUUACUUUGAGAAAUGUUACCCCAAAGUUUAAUUUAAUUUUGGUAAAUAUUCACUUAUGCGCACUUUUCCAUACCCAGGACCUUAAAACUUAUGGAUUGGAUUCCAUUCUUGAGCCAAUAGUAAGUGAUUUGAAAGUGCUUGAGACUGAGGGUAUUGAAGUUGCCUUCUUCAGUGGUCGUAUACAUGGCAGUAUUGUCCAAGUAACUGGAGAUAAUCUUGGUAUACAUUACCUGUUCGGUUUUGUGGAGUAAUUUAGUGCUCGUUAUUGUUGCUGUUUUUGCCACACUGGGAAAUGCACUCAGACCAUUGUCAAACUAUUCAGUCAAACUCAACACUACCUCAUGUGUACGGUGUGAAGCAUGCUUGCUUAUUGAACUCUAUGCAGUUCUUCAAUACUACAGACAAUUUUUCUGUUGAUAUAAUGCAUGACAUUUUAGAAGGAGUUGCACAACUUGAGGUAACUUUGUGACUGCUAAAGAUGUGUACGGUAGAGUUCGUUCAUUUUACUAUGGCUACACAGAGAGGAGGAAUUUUCUACCUGCACUCAAAUUGGAUGAUGGGGGCAAUGAUUUGGGUCUAAAGGCUAUUCAGUCUUGGUGUCUUUUCUGUAAUUUGCCAUUGAUAUUUGGUGAUCUGGUACAGAAAGAUGAUAAAUACUGGCAGCUGCUUUUGUUACUACUACAAAUGGUAAAUAUUGUGUUUUCUCCUAUACUAACAGAGGGCAUGACUAUCUAUCUGACACACUUACUUGCUAAACAUCAUAGGCUUUUCGUGUAUUUGUUUCCUGAUAGAAAUCUGUUACCGAAACACCACUUCAUGAUGCAUUAUCCUCGUCGUAUAAGGAAUAUUGGGCCCAUUCUUCAUUCGUGGUGUAUGCCCUACGAGGAUAAACAUAAUUUCUAUAAAAAGCAACUGAAGAGUUUUAAUGACCUUAACCAAGAAACACCAAAAUGACAUGGCAUAUAAUUGGGAAACGUUCAGCCAGGAUAGACUAGCUAUAGGUCCAGGAAAUAUGUCAAGGCUCAAUGAGCUGAAAGAAAGCCAUGAGAUUGCUGCCAAGCUGAAUGUCUCAGUGCACACAUGUUUUGUCAGUUAAAUGGGUAUAGCACCAUGGUACAGAAUAUCGUCUUGAUUUGGUCAUACCUGGUGAAGUAGUCAUUGAAAUGCCAGUAUUUUACAAAAUUAAGGCUAUUGUUCUGAAAGAGGAAAAUGUUUUUGGGGGUUGGGUCAGUUCUUGAAACCUUAUGUUUUGAUGAUCAUUUGCAUGCAUUUAAAGUUGUUUUGAAGCAAUGUCCAUCAUGCAAGGUAUUUCAUGUAAAUGAUAUCAUUUACCACAAACCUUUUCAUUUGCUCAUGUCAUAUGGAGCAAGGGAUUCUUUUGACUACAUUGUACUCUUACUUGAUAACAGUUUAAGCCAGGGCUGGGACUUGUGGUUUGGUCAUAAUUCACAUAUUUGAAUGUUGAAACAGCUUUGCUUGAGUUUAUUGUGAAAUUCCAAGUGCUUUUACAAAAUAUAAUUUAUAUUUACAUGGGGGAAGAGUAAAUGAAUAAAUGAACACUGUUUAGAGUAAACACAUUUUUACUCUAAAAGGAUUCACCCUAGAUCAACACUAGUGAGUGUCACUAUAAAGUGACUCUCAAAGUGUUGAUUACCUCUUAGUGUUACAUUUUAUUAACACCGGCCAGUAUAGUGCAGUGUUAACUUUUUGCACUCCUCAGUGUUAACUCAACACUAGAAAUGUAACACUUUGAUCACUUUUUACUCUGUGAAGAGUGGGGCCAUAUGUACUUGCCGACAGUGUUACAUUUAACACUGUUAAAUCAACACUUUCAAAUUUACUGUGUAGAGUUUACAAGCUUGAUGUAACCAUUGUGUGCUAGGAAUAUGGGACCAAAUACUAAACUUAACCACUAAUACACAAGUG